rnacentral:rRNA from 1 species
CCAGACUCCUACGGGAGGCAGCAGUGGGGGAUAUUGCACAAUGGGGGAAACCCUGAUGCAGCGACGCCGCGUGGGCGAAGAAGUAUUUCGGUAUGUAAAGCCCUAUCAGCAGGGAAGAAGAAAUGACGGUACCUGAGUAAGAAGCACCGGCUAAAUACGUGCCAGCAGCCGCGGUAAUACGGAGGAUGCGAGCGUUAUCCGGAUUUAUUGGGUUUAAAGGGUGCGUAGGCGGAAUGCCAAGUCAGCGGUAAAAUCGCGGGGCUCAACCCCGCCCAGCCGUCGGAACUGCCGGGCUAGAGUGGGCGAGAAGUGCGCGGAAUGCGUGGUGUAGCGGUGAAAUGCAUAGAUAUCACGCAGAACUCCGAUUGCGAAGGCAGCGCACCGGCGCCCUACUGACGCUCAGGCACGAAAGCGUGGGUAUCGAACAGGAUUAGAUACCCGAGUA